AGACUUGCUACACCCUCCAGUUGCCUCACACUGAAUCCAGUUAAACCCUGCUCUACUAAAGGCCACCAGUCCAUCAACAAAGAUUUAUUGAACAUCCAGGGGCACAUUCUCAUGCUAGCAAAGAAUGCAUCUUCUCAUUGUGCGUUGAAUAGUGGCCCCUGAAAUGAUGCUCCUGUGUCCUAAUCCCCCGAACCUGUAAAUAUGACCUGAUUUGGAAAAAGGGUGUUUGCAGAUUGAAUUAAGCUAAGGAGCUCAGAAAUCAUCCUGGACUUAACCCAGUGGCAGAUGUCCUUAAAAGAAAAAGGCAGAGGAAGAGUUCAGACAUUGAGACACACAAGUCAGACAGCCAUGUCGACAUGGAAGCAGAGAUUAUGGUUAUGCAGCCUUCAGUCAAGGAAUGCCUGGAACUACUGGGAACUGAAAGAGACAAGGAAGGAUUCUCCCUUGAAGGACUUCAGGGGGAAGAAUGUGGUCCAGAAAUACCUUGAUUUCACACUUCCAUCUCCAAAACUUCCUCAAGACAGCCACCCCAAUGCCACAGUGUCAUUAACCCAGCUGCAGCUCUGAUUCUGCGGGCUCUUUACUGCGGCUCCCACAGCUGUUGCCAGCUCAUCGUCCUACCCUGCAGAGAGGUCAGCGGAAGCCAUAACUCAUGGGCUGUGGCAUCUAAAGAGAUACGAGGGAGCCAUCACCCCGGCUUUCGGAAUGGGCAAGAAAUCUAAAUGCUGAGAACGCUGCUGUGGCCAGGAAUCAGAAAGGAGGAUGCCUCUUGUUGUCCAUGUUGCUUGAGGAAUCUCCCUUCCAAUGGCCCAAGAAAAAGAGAUUCCAACAAAGACACUACAUAAGUCAAGUAUCAGGACAGGAUUACCAACCAAUUCGCUGAUUCUCAGGAGUACUUAUUGACUCUCUGGCAUGCACAAAGUUUUCUAAUAAAAACAUCAGGAGAUUACAGUCGUGAUGAACUGA